rnacentral:rRNA from 1 species
UACGAAGGGGGCUAGCGUUGUUCGGAAUUACUGGGCGUAAAGCGCGCGCAGGCGGUUCUCCAAGUCAGUGGUGAAAGCCCGGAGCUCAACUCCGGAACUGCCCAUUGAAAACUGUUGAACUUGAGGACGAGAGAGGUGAGUGGAAUUCCCAGUGUAGAGGUGAAAUUCGUAGAUAUUGGGAAGAACACCAGUGGCGGAAGGCGGCUCACUGGCCCGAUACUGACGCUGAGGCGCGAAAGCGUGGGGAGCAAACAGG